rnacentral:rRNA from 1 species
UGGGGAAUAUUGCACAAUGGGCGCAAGCCUGAUGCAGCCAUGCCGCGUGUAUGAAGAAGGCCUUCGGGUUGUAAGUACUUUCAGCGGGGAGGAAGGGAGUAAAGUUAAUACCUUUGCUCAUUGACGUUACCCGCAGAAGAAGCACCGGCUAACUCCGUGCCAGCAGCCGCGGUAAUACGGAGGGUGCAAGCGUUAAUCGGAAUUACUGGGCGUAAAGCGCACGCAGGCGGUUUGUUAAGUCAGAUGUGAAAUCCCCGGGCUCAACCUGGGAACUGCAUCUGAUACUGGCAAGCUUGAGUCUCGUAGAGGGGGGUAGAAUUCCAGGUGUAGCGGUGAAAUGCGUAGAGAUCUGGAGGAAUACCGGUGGCGAAGGCGGCCCCCUGGACGAAGACUGACGCUCAGGUGCGAAAGCGUGGGGAGCAAACAGG